GAUGAACGCUGGCGGCGUGCCUAAUACAUGCAAGUCGAGCGAACAGAUGAGGAGCUUGCUCCUCUGACGUUAGCGGCGGACGGGUGAGUAACACGUGGAUAACCUACCUAUAAGACUGGGAUAACUUCGGGAAACCGGAGCUAAUACCGGAUAAUAUAUUGAACCGCAUGGUUCAAUAGUGAAAGACGGUUUUGCUGUCACUUAUAGAUGGAUCCGCGCCGCAUUAGCUAGUUGGUAAGGUAACGGCUUACCAAGGCAACGAUGCGUAGCCGACCUGAGAGGGUGAUCGGCCACACUGGAGCUGAGACACGGUCCAGACUCCUACGGGAGGCAGCAGUAGGGAAUCUUCCGCAAAGGGCGAAAGCCUGACGGAGCAACGCCGCGUGAGUGAUGAAGGUCUUCGGAUCGUAAAACUCUGUUAUUAGGGAAGAACAAAUGUGUAAGUAACUAUGCACGUCUUGACGGUACCUAAUCAGAAAGCCACGGCUAACUACGUG
rnacentral:rRNA from 1 species